GACGAACGCUGGCGGCGUGCUUAACACAUGCAAGUCGAGCGGUAAGGCCCUUUCGGGGUACGACGAGCGGCGAACGGGUGAGUAACACGUGGGUGACCUGCCCUCCAGCUCUGGGAUAAGCCUGGGAAACCGGGUCUAAUACCGGAUAUGACUCCAUGACGCAUGUUGUGGGGUGGAAAGCCUUGUGCGGCUGAGGAUGGGCCCGCGGCCUAUCAGCUUGUUGGUGGGGUGAUGGCCUACCAAGGCGACGACGGGUAGCCGGCCUGAGAGGGCGACCGGCCACACUGGGACUGAGACACGGCCCAGACUCCUACGGGAGGCAGCAGUGGGGAAUCUUGCGCAAUGGGCGAAAGCCUGACGCAGCGACG
rnacentral:rRNA from 1 species